rnacentral:sRNA from 2 species
AAAACGUGAAGGAUAACGUUGCGUCAGCAACGGCCCGUAGGGCGAGGCGAAGCCGAGUCAUCCUGCACGACCCACCA